UGGCGGCGUGCCUAACACAUGCAGUCGAACGAGAAAGCUCUCUUCGGAGAGCGAGUACAGUGGCGAACGGGUGAGUAACACGUUGGUGACCUGCCCCGAGGUGGGGGAUAACUAUGGGAAACCAUAGCUAAUACCCCAGAUGUUAAGGAGUUUAGACGUCCUUAACUAAAGUUCCGGCGCCUCGGGAGGGGCCUGCGGGCUAUCAGCUUGUUGGUGAGGUAAUGGCUCACCAAGGCUAAGACGGCUAGGGGGCGUGAGAGCGCGAUCCCCCACAAUGGAACUGAGAAACGGUCCAUACUCCUACGGGAGGCAGCAGUGAGGAAUAUUGCACAAUGGGGGCAACCCUGAUGCAGCAACGCCGCGUGAACGAUGAAGGCCUUCGGGUUGUAAAGUUCUUUUCUAAGGGACGAUAAUGACGGUACCUUAGGAAUAAGUCCCGGCUAACUACGUGCCAGCAGCCGCGGUAAAACGUAGGGGGCGAGCGUUAUCCGGAUUUAUUGGGCGUAAAGCGCGCGUAGGCGGCGCUGAAAGUUGGACGUGAAAGCUCCUGGCUCAACUGGGAGAGGUCGUUCAAAACUCCAGUGCUUGAGGUUGGAAGAGGAGAGUAGAAUUCCCGGUGUAGUGGUGGAAUGCGUAGAUAUCGGGAGGAAUACCAGUGGCGAAAGCGACUCUC
rnacentral:rRNA from 1 species